GCAGGUGUAGUUUUAUCAAAACGCUGGAUUGUGAUUCCAGAAAAAGGGGUUAAACUCCCCUCGCCCGCC
rnacentral:tRNA from 1 species